rnacentral:rRNA from 1 species
GUACCUUGCGAAUAAGGAUCGGCUAACUCCGUGCCAGCAGCCGCGGUAAUACGGAGGAUCCGAGCGUUAUCCGGAUUUAUUGGGUUUAAAGGGUGCGCAGGCGGGAUGUUAAGUCGGCGGUGAAAUUUUGCAGCUCAACUGUAAAAGUGCCUUCGAUACUGGCUUUCUUGAGUGUGGAUGAAGUAGGCGGAAUUUGUGGUGUAGCGGUGAAAUGCUUAGAUAUCACGAGGAACUCCGAUUGCGCAGGCAGCUUACUAAACCACUACUGACGCUCAUGCACGAAGGCGUGGGGAUCAAACAGGAUUAGAUACCCUGGUAGUCCACGCAGUAAACGAUGAUUACUAGUUGUUUGCGAUACAAUGUAAGCGACUGAGCGAAAGCGUUAAGUAAUCCACCUGGGGAGUACGUUCGCAAGAAUGAAACUCAAAGGAAUUGACGGGGGCCCGCACAAGCGGAGGAACAUGUGGUUUAAUUCGAUGAUACGCGAGGAACCUUACCCGGGCUUGAAAUGCGGCGGACCGGCAGAGAGAUCUGCCUUCCCUUCGGGGCCGCCGUGUAGGUGCUGCAUGGUUGUCGUCAGCUCGUGCCGUGAGGUGUCGGCUUAAGUGCCAUAACGAGCGCAACCCUCAUCAUUAGUUACUAACAGGUCAUGCUGAGGACUCUAGUGAGACUGCCAUCGUAAGAUGCGAGGAAGGUGGGGAUGACGUCAAAUCAGCACGGCCCUUACGUCCGGGGCGACACACGUGUUACAAUGGGUGGUACAAAGGGCAGCUACCUGGCGACAGGAUGCUAAUCUCCAAAACCACUCUCAGUUCGGAUCGGAGUCUGCAACUCGACUCCGUGAAGCUGGAUUCG